rnacentral:rRNA from 1 species
AUACGGAGGGUGCAAGCGUUGUUCGGAAUUACUGGGCGUAAAGCGCGUGUAGGCGGUCGGGCAAGUCGAAUGUGAAAUCCCCGGGCUCAACCCGGGAAUUGCAUCCGAAACUGCUUGGCUAGAGUCCCGGAGAGGAAGGCAGAAUUCCCAGUGUAGGGGUGAAAUCCGUAGAUAUUGGGAGGAAUACCAGUGGCGAAGGCGGCCUUCUGGACGGUGACUGACGCUGAGAUGCGAAAGCGUGGGGAGUAAACAGGAUUAGAAACCCCAGUAGUCC